UACGGAGGAUGCGAGCGUUAUCCGGAUUUAUUGGGUUUAAAGGGUGCGUAGGCGGACGCUUAAGUCAGCGGUAAAAUUGCGGGGCUCAACCUCGUCGAGCCGUUGAAACUGGGUGCCUUGAGUGGGCGAGAAGUACGCGGAAUGCGUGGUGUAGCGGUGAAAUGCAUAGAUAUCACGCAGAACUCCGAUUGCAAAGGCAGCGUACCGGCGCCCAACUGACGCUGAAGCACGAAGGCGUGGGUAUCGAACAGG
rnacentral:rRNA from 1 species